rnacentral:rRNA from 1 species
AGAGUAAGAAAAUUUUAGUAGUGUACCUUUUGUAUCAGGGAAAUUUAAAAAUAUAGUAAAAAUAUAAUCGAUUUUAUCAUAUCUUUUUAAAUUACUAGUAGUUGAAUUUAAUUGUUGUAAAUAUAAAGAGGUGAAAAGUGUACGGUGGUAAUGGUAUCUAGUUGUUUUAGGGUUUUAAGGGUUAAGCUUUAAUAAUUUUAUUUUAAAGCUUAAUUAUGAAGACUAGGCUUUAAAUUAGCUACGUUAGUAUAUUGUUUUAAAUAAUCUUAUAGCUAUUCAUGUACGUAAAAUUACUAAUACUAUGUUAAUAAUUGGUUUUUAAUAAAAAUAAUGAAUUUAUUGAAUAGUAAAAGAAACUUAAAAAAAACUAAUAAUAAGUUAGAUAGUUUAUCAAAAACAUUUCUGUUUGUAAAGUAAAAAGUAAGGCCUGCCCGGUGUUAUUUAACGGCUGCGGUAUUUUGACUGUGCAAAGGUAGCAUAAUCAUUUGUUUCUUAAUUGGUAGCUGGAAUGAAAGGUUAAACUAUUUUAUUAAGUUUGUAUAGUUAAAUAUAAGAUUUAAGUAAAGGUAAGAAUUCUUUUAUUUUCUAGGGGACGAUAAGACCCUAGAAGCUUUACAAAAAGAUAUAAUUUUAGUUAUAGAAUCUAAUUUGUUUUACUGGGGCGGUAUUAGUGUAUAAACUACUGUAAAAUUGACGGGUCCUAUAUAUAUAGACAAGACAGAUAAGUUACUCUAGGGAUAACAGUACAAUAUAUUUGGAGAGAUCUUAUCGAUAAGGAUGUUUGUAACCUCGAUGUUGAAUUAAAAUGUCUAUGUAUAGCAAAAAACACAAAAGAAGGUUUGUUCAACC